rnacentral:rRNA from 1 species
UACGAAGGGGGCUAGCGUUGCUCGGAAUCACUGGGCGUAAAGGGUGCGUAGGCGGGUCUUUAAGUCAGGGGUGAAAUCCUGGAGCUCAACUCCAGAACUGCCUUUGAUACUGAGGAUCUUGAGUCCGGGAGAGGUGAGUGGAACUGCGAGUGUAGAGGUGAAAUUCGUAGAUAUUCGCAAGAACACCAGUGGCGAAGGCGGCUCACUGGCCCGGUACUGACGCUGAGGCACGAAAGCUAGGGGAGCAAACGGGAGUUAGAAAACCC